GUACAUAAACAUCUCCAGUAAUCCCUUUAUUUAGAACCAAUCUAUUGUCCAGAGGGGGGUGGGGGUCUUUUCCCAAGGGUGCAGUUCUAGUGUCCUGUGUGAAUGUUUACAGCCCCCUUUUUUGGUUUUAUUAUAAAAACUUAAAUGAUUUUAUCUCUGUUUUGUCUUGACAACCAGGUGAACCAAGCCAAUCAGUCCAACCCACUGGGCUCUGGACUGGGGUACCUAGAGCACAUCUGCCAGCUCAUAGAGAAGAUCGGACAGCUACAGGAACACAACCUUCGACUACAGAAACAGAUCUGUGGCCUGCAGAAGGAAGGCAGGGUGAUCAAGGCUAAAGAGGACUUCUUCAUGCAGCACUGUAGCUGUGGAGCAGCCAGCUUGGCCUUCCAAGAGCUCAAGAGACACUUUCGCAGUGACCACUACAGCCUGACGGCAUCAAGCGGCACACUGUCUGACCUCAGCACAAUCCCUGAGGUCACGCGCAUCCCCCUCAGGGCAGCCAUGGGAGAUGGUGACAUGGGUUGCCAACCUGCUCUUCCUGUUUGGAGGAGGGGUCUGAAUCGAAGGAGCUACACAGAGGAAGAGGCCAAGUACCUGAGUGACAGCGCUGAGGUCCUCUCCGCUCCUCACAGACGGUUGAGUGAGAACUAUACAUGGGGAAGAGUGAAGGAAAUGGUGAAGAAGACCAAACUGAGGAACCAAAGCCGGCUGGGACUGUCUUCAGGCUCCCUGAAGAGAUCAUGUCCACAGCUUUACCGCCCAGAUGUGAUGCCAGCAGAACGGCCCAGGACAAACAGAAACUCCAUGAUCGCUCUGGGACAUCAGAAACUGGACUAUCUGUGGCCACAGUAGUAUAACUCAGACAUUGAGCAGAUGGCCUGCGAUGGGGCAGCUUUUCCAAAAAGCAAAGCACAAAGUGGUAGUUUUUGCCAUUUGCAGAUGGUUUUCCAGACUGAGGAACAAGAUAGGAGAGAAAUGCACAAGAAAACAAUGAAUGGGAUUGGAGUAAUGAUAGAAAAAAGUUGGUAUCACGUGUAUAGGUAAUACUAAGAGAGAUGCUUAUAUGUUGAUUAAAGUGUUAAGUUGACCUGUUGAUGGAGCUCGUUUGUGUGACAUCACAUUUCUGUAAAUGUCAUUAAUUCAGAUGAAGCACUCAUUAGAUUUGUCAGCUAAUGAGGUACUAUUAAAGACGAUAUAAACGUGGAAAUGAUUUACAGAAUGUGAACAGAAGGGAAUUACAGAAAAUCCUUAUGUAUAGUCUAAUGUAAAUUUCUGCCAGGACAAUUUACCAGAUGCUGUCCUAAUUGUAAAAUACUUGAAAUACAUCCAAAUGAUAACAAAUGUUGAACAUGCAUGCUAUAUCUUUAUAUAUAUAUCAUUUCGUACCACUAUUAUAAGAAGUGCCGUAAGUGAGUAUACAGAUAUAACAAAUAUGCAUGUAUGUAUCCAUGAUGCAUGGAUCAUAUGUGAAGAUGAGAGUGGAUAAGAGGUGCUCCCACGUCUGAAUUCCUCUAUCUACAGACAUACAGUGGGUACGGAAAGUAUUCAGACCCCUCUAAAUUUUUCACUCUUUGUUAUAUUGCAGCCAUUCGCUUAUGAUAACAUGUAAAUUACUUAUGGCAGUUCUGUACGCAGCUCGCCUGUCUGAUGUUAUAUAAUGUGUGAUUUUUCCGCCUCUCUAAAAGUUUGAGAGUGUGAACCUGAAAUAUCAUCCUAAAAUAUAGAUUGAAAAGUGCUUCCUGCCAAAUAUUAGUCCAAAGACAUAAACGCAGAAUAAAAUGCAGUAUAAAAUGGUCAUAAAUCUUUACUAAUCUUAUAAGUGUACCUCAGGGAGAAAACGUAAAUAAAAAAAACUUAUGAAUUGACCCCUUGAAAUAAAUAAGGUGUUUAAUUCAACAUCAGUUUUCUAAUUAAACUUCUUUAACGCGAUAUUGUUCUGGCCAGGAAAGUGUAUUAAAACACGGUUUCCAUAUAGUACGGUCUUUUGAAGUACGCUUGACUUAUCGUUUCAUAGUCACUGUACUGAGUAAUGGUGUUAAACUGUGUGUAAAAAUUAAUGAGAGAUGAAGUAUGGCAGUUUUUUGUCUAUUAGGGACAGAAGACAAGACCAAGAGAUUUUGUACUUAUCUUGUGUUGUAGUGUACCAAAUGGACAGAAUAAUUCAAUAUGCAUAUUGCAUUGUUAUUCAAA
rnacentral:lncRNA from 1 species